rnacentral:tRNA from 1 species
CAAAAUGUAGCCUAAUUAAACCGCCUCGCUUACACCGAGUAAAUAUUCACACCCUGAUUCAUUUUGA